rnacentral:lncRNA from 1 species
AAACCGGGAGGGCCAAGGGACACACGUCCAGUCCCUGAGCUGAUAAGCAGCGGCCUAGGACAUUGAUCCUGAAGAGGAAUUUCCUGUUGAGACUUCCUCUUUCCUGGGGAGCGCCACAGUGUCUGGCCGGCGCCUGGCUUGCGCACACACACACACACACACACACACACACACACACACUUUUGUCGGUCAGAAAGCUGCGCCGCUGCCCUGUCUACUGAGGGGUUUUGAGCCUCUCCGUCCUUACCUUCUCUCUCACGCUUCAAAGGUCCUGGGAUGUUGAACUCAGACUUGGCCAUAAGCGACCUCACCAACUGAGCCACCUCCCCGAGGCCUUGGAGGUGGUUUGUGAGAGCAGCUCCAAGAGAAGAGGAAGUACAAGGAUGUCCAGGGUUGACUGGCACACACUGCAGCUUCUGGGGCCACACCCCUACCUCUUGCUGAUGCACAGGGUCCUCCAGACCAUUGCCCUAUCCCCGCCCCUGGGCUCUGGCUCUACCACCUACGGAAUUAGACCCAGAGUGGCAGUUUCACAAAGGCUGCUGAGAAGAGUGAAGGUUGGAUGUGGGCCGGGCUCAGUCACCUCAGGGCUGUUUAUCCUUCCCAAGCAGCCGGUCAUGUGCCUGGCUAUUUGCAGCUGAGAGACAGAAGAAAGAACUCCGGGAACUAGAAAGUCGCUGCUUCCUGGAUUUGGGUGUGGAUUUGGAUCAGGUGACCUGACUGUUGCUUAGAGGCCUGGCUUCUGUCUUCACCAUUAGUUCUUACUACAGGGAAAGCAAGCAACAACCGGGAUGUCCACAGGUUCUCCCUAGGUCAAGUGGCCACCCCAAGGCCCAGGUCUGUCAUUUGGCUCAUAAACAAGGACAAGUACAGGAAAGUGGUACACUCUGCCCGUAGCUCUGACUCUUUUGUUUUGUUUUAGAUUUAUGUGUGUGUGUGUGUACACUAUUGCUGUCUUCAGACACUUCAGAAGAAGGUGUCAGAUAUCAUUACAGAUGGUUGUGAGCCACCAUGUGGUUGCUGGGGUUUGAACUCAGGACCUCUGGAAGAACAGUCAGUGCUCUUAACCUCUGAGCCAUCUCUCCAGCCCCGUAGCUCUGAGUCUUAGCACACCAGAGCCUAGGAAAUGUACAGGUCAUGAGUUGUUUGUUUUUGUUUUUGUUCAUUUUUUUGGUUUUUUUCGAGACAAGGUUUCUCUGUGUAGCCCUAGCUGUUCUGGAACUCACUCUGUAGACCAGGCUGGCCUCGAACUCAGAAAUCUGCCUGCCUCUGCCUCCCGAGUGCUGGG